GUCGGAGUGAAAACAAACCAAGGAGCGAAACUGGACCUCCGUCUUAUUCAAUCGACGGUAGUUUACUCAUUUCUUCACCGAUUUUGAUUAAACAUAUGCUAAAUCGAGCAUUAGCUAUCCAGGAAUGAAUCUAUCUUUCGCGGGAUGCGGAUUCCUCGGCAUUUACCAUGUUGGAGUGGCGAGUUGUUUGAAGGAAUAUGCUCCAACGUUAUUUGACUCUGAAACGAAGAUAAGCGGUGCAAGUGCAGGCGCACUGGUUGCUUGUGGCCUAAUUUCCGACUGCUGCCUUGGUCAGUUCACAAGCUAUGUGUUACGUGUAGCUGCAAAGGCAAGGUCUAGAACAUUGGGCCCUUUGCACCCAAGCUUCAACAUUCACCAGAUACUUCAUGAUGGCCUUGAAGAAGUUCUCCCCCAAAAUGCACACAAGAUUGCCACAGGUCGACUUCAUGUGUCAUUAACACGUGUCUCUGAUAGAAAGAGUGUCAUUGUGUCUGAUUUUGAUUCUAGAGAAGAUUUAAUCAAGGCUCUACUAUGCAGUUCUUUCGUACCUUUCUACAGUGGAAUGGUUCCACCUUCCUUCAAAGGAGUGAGAUACGUCGAUGGAGGAUUGAGUGAUAACCUUCCAAUCCUUGAUGAAAAUACCAUAACAGUUUCUCCAUUUGCGGGUGAAAGCGACAUCUGCCCUAAUGAUAAUUCGGCCAAUUUACUCGAAGUUUCACUGGCAAAUACAAGUAUGCAGUUCUCCACAUAUAAUCUGUAUAGGAUGAGUAGAGCUCUAUUUCCUCCUCACCCAGAAGUCCUUAGUAAUAUGUGUAGAAGAGGAUUUGAUGACGCCCUCAAGUAUCUCCAGAGAAACAAUCUCAUCAACUGUACUCGUCAUCUGAGCAUACGGUCAAGCAUCGUUGCCUCCGCAUCACUUGCCACUGAUCUCAACCUCCUUGCAGAAGAGUCAACUGAGAGUUUAUCUACCUCUGAUUCUGGAGAUCUUGUAGAAGAGGCACAUCACUGCUCUGAAUGCAAACAGAGACAACAUAUAGCAUUGGUAGAUACCUUGCCACCCAUAGUUGUAUCAGCAUUUAGCCAGUGUACAGAGUCUAUGAGAUUAACCUGGAUGGGGAAGACUGGUCACAUUCUCUCAUACGUCCUUGCCCCAUGGGCCCUGCCAGCCGCUGUUGUAUAUAACUAUUCAAAAAGAUUUCUCAACUGGGUUCCACAUUUGCCGAAUGACAGCCAGUGGUUCUAUGAGGAAUUCAUGGCCCUCAUCGUUGCCUUUGUUCAACACUUGAAGCGUGGAAGGCAUCAUCAUAGAGCUAGGCUUACUUGUCAACUUGCCAUUAGUGAAUACACAGACCAUGUAUCCAAAGAAAAGCCUCGCAGAGCAGCCAGGGCUACCAGGGCAUUCAAGUCUAAGGCCCAUAAGAAACAUUGCUCUAAACUUAACAUUGGCUUCUCAAUGGACUUCCAAAAUAGAGAUUCAACCCUCAAUACCCUGACAACACUGAGGCAUCAUCUAAUAGAGGAAACCCCAUGCGAGCAGAACGAUCAGCCCAACCCGGUUCAAUCCACACCUGUGCAAUCAAAAGACAAACUAUUUCAAAUUGAUGAAUUUGAUGAAGAACCGCUGGAGCUACCAGAUUUAGAAACUGAAAUAUAUGCAAAUCCAGACUCAUUAGAUCCUCAAACUCUUGAUACGUUUGACCACUGUCUUGAGCAGGCCAAUCACAUGGAGGCAGUUAUGGCUUAUUAUUACAAUGAGCCUGAUCAACCAAACAUAAUCAAAGUCACUGAAAUAUUUAGUCUCCGUGAGGAAAACAUACAGACUGACUCUAUAUGUAGGAAAACUUCAACAGAAUCAAAAUCUACUGAACUGUCGUGGGAUUCUUACACUGAGUGCCUGGAUCUAUCCAGGGGUUAUGAUGCAGACCAUGACACAUGCAGUUCACAUUCUGGCUGCAGCUCUGACCAGGGUCUAUUGACUGGAUCUCUUUGAGGGAUUCUAUCAAAUGUUCAUACUAAGUUCUACCAACUACCUGCUAAAAGAAAACAUGUGUGUAGAAUUUAAUGUGAAACAUAUUAAAGUUAAAAUAGUGCCUAUAAACAGAUACUAUAGAAUAAAAUGUGGAACAUGUAUUUUAUGUCUAUGGUGAAUGGAAGAAUGAGCAAGAAAUAUUAGAAACAGCAUAGUUCAAUCUCUACAUUGUAUAGAGAGAGAAACAUGAGACCCUAUUUAUUGCCUUUCAGCAUAUUGCCUUAUAUGAAAACCAUAUACAGUAUCCAUCAAGAAUAUCCAGUCAAUGUUUUGUAUAAUUCUGUUUUAGUUUCCCAAAGUGGUAGAGAUUGUAAAAUUCAAAACUGUCAUAGCCAUAAAAUCCAGGAAUCUGAUAUACUGUUGAACAAGGGGGCACAAAUGUUGGGUUUUUCUCUAUUUGACUAAUUUGAAACAUACAAACGAAUUACAAGUAUUUCAGAUCGCAUACAAGAUAAAAUAAAUAUCAUUGAAUGCCAUACAUACAUAUACAAUGCAUAUUUCUGAACUUUGCACUUCCAAAUAUCAUAUUUUUUACACAAACAAAUAUUUUCUACAAACCUUUAGUUCAACCAUUCAUAACAAUUACCAACUCUUUUCAGGAAAUUUUAUUCAAUUAAAUGUACUUGUAUACUUGUACAUUUUAGCACAAACACUUCGUACAAUUGAUACUUUUAGUGUGUCAACAUGUUGUGUAAAUCACCGUUGACAUAAUGCUAUAUGCUAACCACAUUAUGUCUGUUAUUUGAGAUUUUAGUUCAAUAUCCUUGAAUUUGAAAUCCAACAGCCUCCAUUUAUUUACCACCAGUGGUCAGAAAAUAUUAUAUUUCAUCAGUAUGUUUUUUAGAAACCAUGUGGAAAUUCUUGUGAAUAUUGUAAAAUAAUUAUAGGUUAUGUACCAUUUCCGUUAAAAGCGCACAUGUACAUGUAGUUGAGCAUUAUUGAAAAUAUUGUGUGUACAACAGAAGCACAAUUUUCUUAUUUACAGAACAUUACCUCAAAAUGAAUAUACUGCCUAUUGUACAUAAAAAUUAUAUAGUAUUGUAGAUAAGUACAAUGUGAUUAUUGUAAAUAUCACCAUAUUGUUUAUAUUAUGGUGUCAAGAAAUGUAAAUAAUGUAAAUAGUAGAAUUCAAUAUAUUUUAUCAACAAAAUGUAGUAGUAUUAUUCAUGUACAAUGUUGUGAUGCACAUUAUUAUUUUCAAAACCAAAAUCUAGGGAAUGAAUAUCAACCGUUGUGAAGGACAUUUGACAUGUCACGAUGCAUACGUGUGUAUUUAAAGAAAACAACUUCUGUACACAUUGUAGUACUAUCUAUGACAAAUCAAUAGUGAAUUCUAGAACCAGAAAUAUGCUUGAGGCUAAGAAUCGAUCAUUUUGCCAAAACUUUUUAUUUGUGUAAUACUUAUGGGGAAAACUGAAAAAAUCAGUUUUAAGCAAUAUGUGCAAAUAUAAUUAUGCACUGAUGUAAUAAAGUUUUAUAUUUUGUAUAAUCGAUUCAUUAAAUUUAUACUAACUAACAUGCAGAGUAGAGUUAAUUGUAUUUUGAUUGUUUUACAUUGAUUGGAUAUUUUAAUUUGAUUAUUGAUCUGUUGAUUGACUAUUUUAGUUUGGUUUUAAUGGAUCACUUGCAACUAAUCAGUACACGAUGAAACCUCAUAUUUCAAAAAUUUGAACCUACAGUAAGUUACAAGUAGGAAUGUCAGUGAGAUGAAAGCGAUUGGGUUUGUCAUUUUUCAAAUUCUACAAGAGCACAAUCAAAUAAAUAUGUUCCCAUCCCAAAUAGAAGGAUAACCAAGCCUUUGAUAAUUGUGAUUAAUUGAACUGAUAACCAAACAGUUUUAUAUCUGUUAAAAGGUAUUGUUUUUAAAUUAUUGCAGAGCGUUAAUUCAUGAAUUUGAUUACAUGUACCUCAAGAGUAGAUGUUUUGUUGUAUAUGUAGUUAGAUAUGAACAUACUUUUGAAGAGAAAUAAGCACAACUAUGCAGUUUUUAUUGUUAUUAUAUGUACAUGUUGUACAUAUGAUUGUAAAUAUUUACAAACAUACUAGAUUUUUAUAUAUAUGAUAUGUAUGUUGAGUGAU
rnacentral:misc_RNA from 1 species